rnacentral:rRNA from 1 species
GACGAACGCUGGCGGCGUGCUUAACGCAUGCAAGUCGAGCGGUAAGGCCUUUCGGGGUACACGAGCGGCGAACGGGUGAGUAACACGUGGGUGACCUGCCUUUAGCUUCGGGAUAAGCCUGGGAAACUGGGUCUAAUACCGGAUAUGACCUCAUGUCGCAUGGUGUGGGGUGGAAAGUUUUCGGCUAGAGAUGGGCCCGCGGCCUAUCAGCUUGUUGGUGGGGUGAUGGCCUACCAAGGCGACGACGGGUAGCCGGCCUGAGAGGGCGACCGGCCACACUGGGACUGAGACACGGCCCAGACUCCUACGGGAGGCAGCAGUGGGGAAUCUUGCGCAAUGGGCGAAAGCCUGACGCAGCGACG